rnacentral:lncRNA from 1 species
CUAUGCCUGGAAUAAGAAAAUCCUUAGUUUUUUCAAAAAUUUAAAGUUUGGGAAACAGGAAAUUUAUAAAAAUGACCACAUUAUUGAUAUUCAUGUCAACACCAAAGUGUUGACUACUGGGCUGGUGAUACCCUCGGGGACGAAACGUCCACCAGCAGUGGCAUCGACCCAGUGGUGUAAAUAGUUAUCAAAGGUACCAGGAUUAUAAUUUUUGUACGCCAGACGCGCGUUUCGUCUACAUAAGACUCAUCAGUGACGCUCAUAUC